rnacentral:rRNA from 1 species
CGUAAAGAGCUCGUAGGUGGUUUGUCGCGUUGUUCGUGAAAUCUCACGGCUUAACUGUGAGCGUGCGGGCGAUACGGGCAGACUUGAGUACUGCAGGGGAGACUGGAAUUCCUGGUGUAGCGGUGGAAUGCGCAGAUAUCAGGAGGAACACCGGUGGCGAAGGCGGGUCUCUGGGCAGUAACUGACGCUGAGGAGCGAAAGCGUGGGGAGCGAACAGGAUUAGAUACCCUGGUAGUCCACGCCGUAAACGGUGGGUACUAGGUGUGGGUUUCCUUCCUUGGGAUCCGUGCCGUAGCUAACGCAUUAAGUACCCCGCCUGGGGAGUACGGCCGCAAGGCUAAAACUCAAAGAAAUUGACGGGGGCCCGCACAAGCGGCGGAGCAUGUGGAUUAAUUCGAUGCAACGCGAAGAACCUUACCUGGGUUUGACAUGCACAGGACGCCGGCAGAGAUGUCGGUUCCCUUGUGGCCUGUGUGCAGGUGGUGCAUGGCUGUCGUCAGCUCGUGUCGUGAGAUGUUGGGUUAAGUCCCGCAACGAGCGCAACCCUUGUCUCAUGUUGCCAGCGGGUAAUGCCGGGGACUCGUGAGAGACUGCCGGGGUCAACUCGGAGGAAGGUGGGGAUGACGUCAAGUCAUCAUGCCCCUUAUGUCCAGGGCUUCACACAUGCUACAAUGGCCGGUACAAAGGGCUGCGAUGCCGCGAGGUUAAGCGAAUCCUUUUAAAGCCGGUCUCAGUUCGGAUCGGGGUCUGCAACUCGACCCCGUGAAGUCGGAGUCGCUAGUAA